rnacentral:rRNA from 1 species
GAUGAACGCUGGCGGCGUGCCUAAUACAUGCAAGUCGAGCGUACGGACGAGAAGCUUGCUUUUCUGAUGUUAGCGGCGGACGGGUGAGUAACACGUGGAUAACCUACCUAUAAGACUGGGAUAACUUCGGGAAACCGGAGCUAAUACCGGAUAAUAUUUUGAACCGCAUGGUUCAAAAGUGAAAGACGGUCUUGCUGUCACUUAUAGAUGGAUCCGCGCUGCAUUAGCUAGUUGGUAAGGUAACGGCUUACCAAGGCAACGAUGCAUAGCCGACCUGAGAGGGUGAUCGGCCACACUGGAACUGAGACACGGUCCAGACUCCUACGGGAGGCAGCAGUAGGGAAUCUUCCGCAAUGGGCGAAAGCCUGACGGAGCAACGCCGCGUGAGUGAUGAAGGUCUUCGGAUCGUAAAACUCUGUUAUUAGGGAAGAACAUAUGUGUAAGUAACUGUGCACAUCUUGACGGUACCUAAUCAGAAAGCCACGGCUAACUACGUG